AUUGGCGUGUAUAGGCAUGUCGGAUCCCUGCUUAGGCAGCGACGACAUGCCAUGCAUGCCUUUUCAGUUGGUGGUCCAAGUGCGUGCUAGCGUUGGCCGUUGUUGGUUUCCUGCGUUGCAUACCUAUUGCGAGGGCAUUCAGUCGGCUAAAAACGUCUCAUUUUCGCCUUGUGUCGUGUCUCUAAGGCUACGGCGCGGGGUGGACCUUGAAGCACCCAUUGUGUUCCACUUCCCUUGCGUUGUUAACACACGUUCGGGUUGUUGGCCCAUGAUGUCGUGCUUGAUCUCUCGGAUGCGGAAAAUCUAGUGGGCAUGAGGCCUAUGGUCUCUAUUUGUCCCGAAACAAAGCGUUCUAUGCUUCGUGCGAACGAUAACCGAUGCCGUUUUAAUUGAGCCCUUGGGCUUGGUUCAUGCGGUGCCGGUGUCGAUAAGGAAUGCUACCUGGUUGAUCCUGCCAG
rnacentral:misc_RNA from 1 species